rnacentral:rRNA from 1 species
GACGAACGCUGGCGGCGUGCUUAACACAUGCAAGUCGAACGGAAAGGCCCUGCUUUUGUGGGGUGCUCGAGUGGCGAACGGGUGAGUAACACGUGAGUAACCUGCCCUUGACUUUGGGAUAACUUCAGGAAACUGGGGCUAAUACCGGAUAGGAGCUCCUGCUGCAUGGUGGGGGUUGGAAAGUUUCGGCGGUUGGGGAUGGACUCGCGGCUUAUCAGCUUGUUGGUGGGGUAGGGGCUUACCAAGGCUUUGACGGGUAGCCGGCCUGAGAGGGUGACCGGCCACAAUGGGACUGAGAGACGGCCCAGACGCCUACGGGAGGCAGCAGUGGGGAAUAUUGCACAAUGGGCGGAAGCCUGAUGCAGCAACGCCGCGUGCGGGAUGACGGCCUUCGGGUUGUAAACCGAUUUCGCCUGUGACGAAGCGUGAGUGACGGUAAUGGGUAAAGAAGCACCGGCUAACUACGUG